GCGUGCAGUCGAACGAAUCCCAUCUGGGUAACUGGGUGGGGGAAGUGGCGAAAGGGGCAGUAAGGCGUGGGCAACCUACCCCGGGGAUCGGGAUAGCCGUCCUAACGGACGGAUAAUACCGGGCGAUCUGGCGAGGAGGCAUCUUCUGGCCAGGAAAUGAAUUUCGCCUCGGGAGGGGCUCACGUAGUAUUAGCUUGUUGGCGGGGUAACGGCCCACCAAGGCCAAGAUGCUUAGCGGGUGUGAGAGCACGACCCGCGCCACUGGCACUGAGACACUGGCCAGACUCCUACGGGAGGCUGCAGUCGAGGAUCUUCGGCAAUGGGCGCAAGCCUGACCGAGCGACGCCGCGUGUGCGAUGAAGGCCUUCGGGUUGUAAAGCACUGUCGAGGGGGAGAAAAGCCCGCAAGGGUCUGAUCUAUCCCUGGAGGAAGCACGGGCUAAGUUCGUGCCAGCAGCCGCGGUAAGACGAACCGUGCGAACGUUGUUCGGAUUCACUGGGCUUAAAGGGCGCGUAGGCGGACGGUCAAGUCGGGGGUGAAAUCUUUCAGCUUAACUGGAAACGUGCCUUCGAUACUGAUCGUCUCGAGGGAGGUAGGGGCAUGCGGAACUUCCGGUGGAGCGGUGAAAUGCGUAGAUAUCGGAAGGAACGCCGGUGGCGAAAGCGGCGUGCUGGACCUCUUCUGACGCUGAGGCGCGAAAGCCAGGGGAGCGAACGGGAUUAGAUACCCCGGUAGUCCUGGCCCUAAACGAUGGGUACUAGAUUGUGGACUUAACAUGGGUUCCCAAUCGAAGCUAAAGUGUUAAGUACCCCGCCUGGGGAGUAUGGUCGCAAGGCUGAAACUCAAA
rnacentral:rRNA from 1 species